rnacentral:rRNA from 1 species
UACGUAGGGCGCAAGCGUUGUCCGGAAUUAUUGGGCGUAAAGAGCUCGUAGGCGGCUUGUCACGUCGGGUGUGAAAGCCCGGGGCUUAACCCCGGGUCUGCAUUCGAUACGGGCAGGCUAGAGUGUGGUAGGGGAGAUCGGAAUUCCUGGUGUAGCGGUGAAAUGCGCAGAUAUCAGGAGGAACACCGGUGGCGAAGGCGGAUCUCUGGGCCUUACCUGACGCUCAGGCACGAAAGCUAGGGGAGCGAACAGG